CCUCAGCCAAUGGGAGGUCAGAGUCGGGCGCGGGGGCGUGGCUGGGCGGAGAGACGUUGGGGUUGGCGGUUGCUUGGAGGUGCCGGUUGUGGCUGCUCGUUGGAACAACCUGAUGCCCCUUGGCUGCAUGACCAUCAACAGCAUCUCCUAGCUAAACCAAGUCAGAGGAUUGGCCGUCUAUGCCUUGCCCAAUGCCCCUACGCCAGCUGACUUGGAGGACACCGACAAUGAAGGAGGUAACGGGGGUCGGCCGGAGAAACCUCACUUGGACUCACGGAGCCUGGUGUUUGAGCUGGACCCGUGUGGAGGGAAUGGGAAGGUCUGCCUUGUGUAUAAGAACACCAAGCUGGCAAGGUUCAACACGUACAAGCCCAUCCACUUACAACACGGAGCAGCUCUCUGAGGAGGCCGAUUCCUUCGUGAACAGGCUGGACCCAAACAAGAUCUUCCUGAGAUUGCACAGCAGCACCUUAAAGUCAUGUGAGUCUCCCUUGCUGAUUCCAGUAUCCUUCUGGUCAAGAUCAGACCCAGAGGCAGGGAUAGUCUUCAAACAACGACUAAACCUGCCUCCUCAGUAAUGACAUGGUCUGGACUUAGCGUAACUCCUCCUGCUGCCCGUGAUAACUGAGAUCGGAUGUCCCAGGACACCCCACCCCCCGUGGAACAUGCCCCAGCCAUUCUGUUGGCUGGGGCCCACUCCCAAGCAGCCCUGACCCUCUCCCCUUAAGAUUAAAACUAUACCUAUCCACAACCCAACACCCACCCACCCCCAACAGAGAAAGAAGCACACAAACAAAAGAACACACCAAAAAAGCACAAUUUAAAAAGCCACAGAUAAAAUAUAAUUUAAAAACUAUUUUUAGUUUUACAGGAGCCCUCUCUGCCGAGUAGCAGCCACAGUCCUUGUGAAGCCUGUCAGCCCCCCCCCCCCACAUGGGGACAGCCAAUAGGAAGCUGCAGGCACUCCCCCCCCCCGCUGUGGCUCCGAAAGCCAGCGGGGAAAGCGGCGGGCGUGGGCGCAUGUGCACAAGUGUGCGUGCUCACAUGGGCGAUCUGGCCCGCCGGCGGAAAAGUUGGCCGACCCCGGGUUUAGUUGGUAGAUUAUUCUAUGGUCCUGUUAUAAGAAUAAUAAACGAUCAUAAAGUGAGUUAUAAAGCCCCUCAAAAAAUUCCCUCAAGGUUCGUCUGCUGACAUUACAUUUGUUGCAUCGUUGCAUCUAUACACUUGUACUGUGUCACUACGUUUUUACUGAAAUUUCACGUAUCUUUAUUACUGUAUCUGUAUUUUGUAUCUGUUACCUUCUGUAUCUUUACUUUUCAAUGCUGACAAAAAAUUGUGUAUUUCUUUAUUUGUACCAAUGUAUCUGCAAAACUUUGAUACUAAUAAGAAAUGUCAUAGUUGUCCGUGGCUACACAGUGCCAUCUAUGAAGUCUACAGUACACACACAGACCAAUUCACAAGUUGAAUGACUUUAUUCAAAACAAGGCUAUACAAUCACACUUAUAUAUGCAAAGUACCGGAAAACACCCAAAAUCCUGUCUUCGUUUCCUCUCUUAUGGAUCUGCUCCAGGCAUCACUCAAAGUCUUCCUGAAAAAUCAGAAAAACAAACAAUACAUAGGCAUCAAUAAACAUGGGAAAAACAGGAAUCUGCCUAAAUCCUUUUGUAUACACUGUCUACACCAUAGAAAUCAAGUAUCCACAAAUGCUACCAUUAUCAACUAUUUGUCCUUCUGAUUUACCUGUAAAUCCCUCAUGCUGCACCUAGUCUGGCAUCCUGUUUUUUUCACUUGCUCAUUCCUUCUGUAUGGAAAAUGAAAGGUAUAAAUUUUGUUCGGGUUGGUCCUCCGCUGAGCAGGGACCCUGGUGCAACAGAUCUUUUCUUUGCAAUAAACGAUCGGGCUUAAUUGCCGCCUUGCUUUAAUAUUAA